rnacentral:lncRNA from 1 species
CACAAAUUCUUUCAUAGGGUUUAUUCAUUGCAUAAUAUUGCAUGUAGCAGCAACGAAUAUUUGGCUUAAGCAGAGGAACUACAGACGUGGCCAACUGAAUACCUACUCGCUGUAAGGAAGGAAACUGCUUCUUACGGUUUGCUGACUUUAGCACUAAUUUCUCUCCUCUUCAACUUCAAGAUGUCAUGUAAAAUGUCAUUUGUGCAUGUUUUGCUAAACGAACAAGGCAAUUGGCAUCCCUUACUGUCCUGGCGGAAAGGAACGCAAAAUUCCCCAUCAUAAAUGGAGUAAUCAGGUAAGUGUAAUAGAAUGCGUGCUUUUAGAGUUUUGUAUUGUUAUAAAUA